rnacentral:rRNA from 1 species
AUAUUGUGAGCUUGAUGAGUAGGGCGGGACACGUGGUAUCCUGUCUGAAUAUGGGGGGACCAUCCUCCAAGGCUAAAUACUCCUGACUGACCGAUAGUGAACCAGUACCGUGAGGGAAAGGCGAAAAGAACCCCGGCGAGGGGAGUGAAAAAGAACCUGAAACCGUGUACGUACAAGCAGUGGGAGCACGCUUAGGCGUGUGACUGCGUACCUUUUGUAUAAUGGGUCAGCGACUUAUAUUCUGUAGCAAGGUUAACCGAAUAGGGGAGCCGAAGGGAAACCGAGUCUUAACUGGGCGUUAAGUUGCAGGGUAUAGACCCGAAACCCGGUGAUCUAGCCAUGGGCAGGUUGAAGGUUGGGUAACACUAACUGGAGGACCGAACCGACUAAUGUUGAAAAAUUAGCGGAUGACUUGUGGCUGGGGGUGAAAGGCCAAUCAAACCGGGAGAUAGCUGGUUCUCCCCGAAAGCUAUUUAGGUAGCGCCUCGUGAAUUCAUCUCCGGGGGUAGAGCACUGUUUCGGCAAGGGGGUCAUCCCGACUUACCAACCCGAUGCAAACUGCGAAUACCGGAGAAUGUUAUCACGGGAGACACACGGCGGGUGCUAACGUCCGUCGUGAAGAGGGAAACAACCCAGACCGCCAGCUAAGGUCCCAAAGUCAUGGUUAAGUGGGAAACGAUGUGGGAAGGCCCAGACAGCCAGGAUGUUGGCUUAGAAGCAGCCAUCAUUUAAAGAAAGCGUAAUAGCUCACUGGUCGAGUCGGCCUGCGCGGAAGAUGUAACGGGGCUAAACCAUGCACCGAAGCUGCGGCAGCGACGCUUAUGCGUUGUUGGGUAGGGGAGCGUUCUGUAAGCCUGCGAAGGUGUGCUGUGAGGCAUGCUGGAGGUAUCAGAAGUGCGAAUGCUGACAUAAGUAACGAUAAAGCGGGUGAAAAGCCCGCUCGCCGGAAGACCAAGGGUUCCUGUCCAACGUUAAUCGGGGCAGGGUGAGUCGACCCCUAAGGCGAGGCCGAAAGGCGUAGUCGAUGGGAAACAGGUUAAUAUUCCUGUACUUGGUGUUACUGCGAAGGGGGGACGGAGAAGGCUAUGUUGGCCGGGCGACGGUUGUCCCGGUUUAAGCGUGUAGGCUGGUUUUCCAGGCAAAUCCGGAAAAUCAAGGCUGAGGCGUGAUGACGAGGCACUACGGUGCUGAAGCAACAAAUGCCCUGCUUCCAGGAAAAGCCUCUAAGCAUCAGGUAACAUCAAAUCGUACCCCAAACCGACACAGGUGGUCAGGUAGAGAAUACCAAGGCGCUUGAGAGAACUCGGGUGAAGGAACUAGGCAAAAUGGUGCCGUAACUUCGGGAGAAGGCACGCUGAUAUGUAGGUGAAGUCCCUUGCGGAUGGAGCUGAAAUCAGUCGAAGAUACCAGCUGGCUGCAACUGUUUAUUAAAAACACAGCACUGUGCAAACACGAAAGUGGACGUAUACGGUGUGACGCCUGCCCGGUGCCGGAAGGUUAAUUGAUGGGGUCAGCGCAAGCGAAGCUCUUGAUCGAAGCCCCGGUAAACGGCGGCCGUAACUAUAACGGUCCUAAGGUAGCGAAAUUCCUUGUCGGGUAAGUUCCGACCUGCACGAAUGGCGUAAUGAUGGCCAGGCUGUCUCCACCCGAGACUCAGUGAAAUUGAACUCGCUGUGAAGAUGCAGUGUACCCGCGGCAAGACGGAAAGACCCCGUGAACCUUUACUAUAGCUUGACACUGAACAUUGAGCCUUGAUGUGUAGGAUAGGUGGGAGGCUUUGAAGUGUGGACGCCAGUCUGCAUGGAGCCGGCCUUGAAAUACCACCCUUUAAUGUUUGAUGUUCUAACGUGGACCCGUGAUCCGGGUUGCGGACAGUGUCUGGUGGGUAGUUUGACUGGGGCGGUCUCCUCCUAAAGAGUAACGGAGGAGCACGAAGGUUGGCUAAUCCUGGUCGGACAUCAGGAGGUUAGUGCAAUGGCAUAAGCCAGCUUGACUGCGAGCGUGACGGCGCGAGCAGGUGCGAAAGCAGGUCAUAGUGAUCCGGUGGUUCUGAAUGGAAGGGCCAUCGCUCAACGGAUAAAAGGUACUCCGGGGAUAACAGGCUGAUACCGCCCAAGAGUUCAUAUCGACGGCGGUGUUUGGCACCUCGAUGUCGGCUCAUCACAUCCUGGGGCUGAAGUAGGUCCCAAGGGUAUGGCUGUUCGCCAUUUAAAGUGGUACGCGAGCUGGGUUUAGAACGUCGUGAGACAGUUCGGUCCCUAUCUGCCGUGGGCGCUGGAGAACUGAGGGGGGCUGCUCCUAGUACGAGAGGACCGGAGUGGACGCAUCACUGGUGUUCGGGUUGUCAUGCCAAUGGCACUGCCCGGUAGCUAAAUGCGGAAGAGAUAAGUGCUGAAAGCAUCUAAGCACGAAACUUGCCCCGAGAUGAGUUCUCCCUGACCCUUUAAGGGUCCUGAAGGAACGUUGAAGACGACGACGUUGAUAGGCCGGGUGUGUAAGCGCAGCGAUGCGUUGAGCUAACCGGUACUAAUGAACCGUGAGG